CAGUCGAGGGGUAUAGUUUUUCGGAACUAGAGACCGGCGCACGGGUGCGUAACGCGUAUGCAAUCUACCUUUUACAGGGGGAUAGCCCAGAGAAAUUUGGAUUAAUACCCCAUAGUAUUAUUGAAUGGCAUCAUUUAGUAAUUAAAGUUCCAACGGUAAAAGAUGAGCAUGCGUCCCAUUAGCUAGAUGGUAAGGUAACGGCUUACCAUGGCAACGAUGGGUAGGGGUCCUGAGAGGGAGAUCCCCCACACUGGUACUGAGACACGGACCAGACUCCUACGGGAGGCAGCAGUGAGGAAUAUUGGUCAAUGGGCGCAAGCCUGAACCAGCCAUGCCGCGUGCAGGAUGACGGUCCUAUGGAUUGUAAACUGCUUUUGUACGAGAAGAAACACUCCUACGUGUAGGAGCUUGACGGUAUCGUAAGAAUAAGGAUCGGCUAACUCCGUGCCAGCAGCCGCGGUAAUACGGAGGAUCCAAGCGUUAUCCGGAAUCAUUGGGUUUAAAGGGUCCGUAGGCGGUUUGGUAAGUCAGUGGUGAAAGCCCAUCGCUCAACGGUGGAACGGCCAUUGAUACUGCCAGACUUGAAUUAUUGGGAAGUAACUAGAAUAUGUAGUGUAGCGGUGAAAUGCUUAGAGAUUACAUGGAAUACCAAUUGCGAAGGCAGGUUACUACCAAUUGAUUGACGCUGAUGGACGAAAGCGUGGGGAGCGAACAGGAUUAGAUACCCUGGUAGUCCACGCCGUAAACGAUGGAUACUAGCUGUUGGGAGCAAUUUCAGUGGCUAAGCGAAAGUGAUAAGUAUCCCACCUGGGGAGUACGGGCGCAAGCCUGAAACUCAAAGGAAUUGACGGGGGCCCGCACAAGCGGUGGAGCAUGUG
rnacentral:rRNA from 1 species